UUUUUUUCCUGAUUAAGCUACACAGUAUUUCUAUUUUGUUAAUUUUUUUCAAAAAAAGAUUUCAAUUAAUUAGAUCUGCUUUUUAACAUUCUAGUAAAUUCUGCUUUUAAACUUUUGGUUACUUUGUUGCUCUUUUUCCAGCUUUUAGAAUUGGGAAAUUAUUUCAUUCUUUUAUUUUCUUGAUACAAGUGUUUAAACACUGUCCCACUGCGAAACAUUAAAGUUGAAGCUACAAUUAAGGUUGCUAAUCAGUGACCUUGAGAUAAUCCACAGUUACCUGGAUGGGCCCCAUGUAAUCACACUGGGAGGAUCUGCAGCCCACUCUGGGGCAGGUUUCUGCCACAAUAGCACAGAGGCCAGGACAGGAGAGGAGGCAGCAGCAGUCGGGAAUUCACCAACAACCCCUUCCUGGUGAGAAGGGACUAAAUUGUCAUGUGACUUGCUUGGCCAAUGAAAACAUAGCAGAUAGGACACUAGCAGGGGCUUAGGAAUGUGUUUUCACAGUGGGGCUUGCUGUGUCUUCCUCUAGCAGCCCCAGAAGAACACGCCUGGCUGCCUACUAAUCCAAAAGGGGUAAGAGACAAGUGAGGCAGAACCACUCCAGCCGACCUGAUAGGCACAGUAGACAUUACGGCAUGGUGGACAAAGGGAUGGACCCCUGGAGAGGGGCUCAGCAUAUGUCCUCCCUCCUCCCUUUGUGGUUCAGUCCAAACCCCACUGUCUCCAACAUUCCCUGGUUCCCCCACUCUGUGACAUCACUGCCAGCCUCCUGUCCACUCUGCCAGCUGCAGGUGAGUGAGGCUCAUAGGUUAGACCUAAGGGUAGGAGGGGGUAAUCUUUCUGUACUAAAAUAGAAAAUGCCCCCAACACUCCAGGACACCUAUUCACUUUGUUACAAGAAGCACCCCUUAUUUGCCUUGACCACACUGUUUCUCUGUUUCUGGGUCUCAGUCUCCCCACCUGUGCUGAAAGUCUCCUAAGGGCUCUCCUAGCUCCAGACGACUUCCUGUUUGACCUCGUUGAUCUUUCUUACUCUGAUCAAAGUGCUGUGGGGUCCCUAGAGAACCGAAACUCAACAAUCCACUGGGGACAGCCCAAGGGCCCUUUUCUUUGGCUCCUGCUUCCCUCUAGAGGCGGGCAUUGGUAAUGCAAGAAACACCACACCCGACUCCGUCCCAGUGAGCAUCUCAGUGACAUUAAACGCUUACUAUGUGCCGGAUGCCCUCCAAAGCACUUGACAUCUUUAGGUCACCAAAUCCUUACAACAGCAUUCUGCGGGUAGGUUUCACCAUACCAUUGUACAGACUGGAAAACUGAGGUUCAAGGAGGCUAAGUGGCCCGAAAUUACACAGCAAGAUGCAACAGGAAUUAGGAACUAAAGUCCAUCUAAGUUAAAAAGGAGUGUGCUUUUAACUGUUAUGCUGUUCUGCCAGGCUUCAGAUGGAGCGUUUCCAUUUAAAAACCACUUACCAUCAACUCUUGGAGGUCAAGGUGGUUCUGAACAUCUCAUUCUGGAAUUGUAUAGACAGAAUAAACUCUGGCUUCAGAUAAAACUACAUUAAAAUCCCAGCUGUUCCUGUUGGCUGCCACACCUGAGCAAGUGACCUUUCUUAGGCUCAAUUCCCUCCAUCUGGAAAAUCAGACAAAGUCCCUUCUUUGCAAGGUGGAGAGGAAAAUGAAAUGAGCUCAGAGAUGUCAAAGGACCUGCCCAAAUGCUCAAUGAAUGUCAGUGUUCUUGACAUCAUGGCUGUUUCUAUUCCCAUAACUUUCUGAGAUUUUUUUUUUUAAAGCCUGUUCAUGGAAGGGAGAAUGGGGUGAAGGAUUGAGCUUCUU
rnacentral:lncRNA from 1 species